AAUACCUAAGACCUAUGUUUUGAAAAAGACCAGGCCAGCGCCGCAGCUCAGUAGGCUAAUCCACCGCCUUGCGGCGCCGGCACACCGGGUUCUAGUCCCAGUCUAGGCACUGGGUUCUGUCCUGGUUGCCCCUCUUCCAGUCCAGCUCUCUGCUGUGGUCAGGGAGUGCAGUGGAGGAUGUCCCAGGUGCUUGGGCCCUGCACCCCAUGGGAGACCAGGAGAAGCACCUGGCUCCUGGCUUCAGAUCGGCGCGGUGCGCCGGCCGCAGUGCGUUAGCCGUGGCGGCCAUUGGAGGGUGAACCAACAGCAAAGGAAGACCUUUCUCUCUGUCUCUCUCUCUCACUGUCCACUCUGCCUGUCCAAAAAAAAAAAAAAAAAAAAGACCAGUGUGACCAGUGUAUAGGAGAAAGCAGCCCUCUAUAGUCACUCUAUAGUCAUCACCCUGCUUAGAGUAAAUUACUGUUGAUUAUUUUUAGGGAUGCAUGUGUGUGUAUAGUGAAUGCAUAGCAUAUAUAUGAGAAAAAGAAGUGCAUAUUGCAUAAAAUUUACUCUUGUACGUUUCUUUUAACUGAAUUCUGAUCUGAUUUUUUUUUGUGUGUGUGCUGUAUUAAGUUGCCAAGGAUUUGAGGUAUUUAUCCAGGUCUGAAGAAAAUAAGGCAAAACUUUAAGGAAACCCAGCUAUCUUUUUCACCAAGACCUGAAGUGUGGGAUUUUUUUUUCUCCACUACUAUUGAAGGUCGAUUUGGAGUAAAAUUAUCCUGUGAUUAUUCAUUCAAUGAAAGCAGAUAGUAUGUUAAAAAAAUUAAAUAUUUGAUAUUAUAUAUCUAUACAUGGUCUUAUCUUGGAAAGAUUUAUGCCCAAAAAGUAUUAGGUGUUAUUACAAAGGGCUAAGCAGCAUCAUGAAAAAAUUUAAAACAUCUAUUUUAUUCUGCAUUUCUGCUCCUUCAAAAAUUCUUGUUAUGUCCUAUGCAUCCCUUUUUCCUGCUGACAUUCAAGGAACUACUUAAAUAUUUGAAUUGCAAUGUGCAAUCCAUUAGAGAGAUGUCCUGGUGUCACUGGAGAUACAUGGGAAGAGACCUACUUUAGGCCUUGGGCUCCAGGCUGGCCCUGCUGCUGCUCACUGUGAACCAGGGGUCACUGCUUUUUGCAUUUUCAUCUGAUAGGUUUGAGCUUCAUUACAGAUGUUGAAUUUUUCUCCACCACAGUUUAGGAUGGAUGAUUUUCACAUUCACAGACCCAGGUUUGGGUGAAACACAUCAACACAUUGCAAGGAUGCAAGACAAAUAAUAUUGCAGACAUUUCUUUGAAUUGUAACAACUGUAAGAAUGCAGAGAAUGCAGGUUAUCACACUCACUGUCUAUAGACAUGAGCAGUUCACAGGAAGCUGGCUGUAAUUCCACUUCUUCACUCUUAGUCAAGAAAGCACCUCAGAAUGCAACUGAGACUGGUGACAUGGUCAUGAGCAGUCUCUGGAAUCUGAUCCAAUUUAUUUCUUAAAUAAAUCAUCUACAAAAAGCA
rnacentral:lncRNA from 1 species